AUUGAACGCUAGCGGCAUGCUUUACACAUGCAAGUCGAACGAGUGGCGGACGGGUGAGUAAUCUAUCGGAACGUGCCCAGUAGCGGGGGAUAACUACUCGAAAGAGGGCUAAUACCGCAUACUCUUGGAUCGGCCGAUAUCGGAUUAGCUAGUUGGUGGGGUACAGGCUCACCAAGGCGACGAUCCGUAGCUGGUUUGAGAGGACGACCAGCAACACGGGGACUGAGACACGGCCCAGACGCCUACGGGAGGCAGCAGUGGGGAAUAUGGCACAAUGGGCGCAAGCCUGAUGCAGCCAUGCCGCGUGUAUGAAGAAGGCCCUAGGGUUGUAAAGUACUUUCAGCCGGGAGGCGUUACCGACAGAAGAAGCACCGGCUAACUCCGUGCCAGCAGCCGCGGUAAUUC
rnacentral:rRNA from 1 species